rnacentral:rRNA from 1 species
UAGAGUUUGAUCCUGGCUCAGAACGAACGCUGGCGGCGUGCUUAACACAUGCAAGUCGAACGCGAAAGGGACUUCGGUCCUGAGUAGAGUGGCGCACGGGUGAGUAACGCGUAAGUGAUCUACCCCUGUAUCUGGGAUAACUAUGGGAAACUGUAGCUAAUACCGGAUACGUUCAUGUUCUUGCGAGUAUAUGAAGAAAGAUGGCCUCUGAUUCAAGCUAUUGUACAGGGAGGAGCUUGCGUACCAUUAGCUAGUUGGUAGGGUAAUGGCCUACCAAGGCAACGAUGGUUAGCGGGUCUGAGAGGAUGAUCCGCCACACUGGAACUGAAACACGGACCAGACUCCUACGGGAGGCAGCAGUGAGGAAUAUUGCGCAAUGGGGGCAACCCUGACGCAGCGACGCCGCGUGGAUGAUGAAGGCCUUCGGGUCGUAAAAUCCUGUCAGAUGGAAAGAAGUGCGAGAUGGUUAAUACCCAUUUCGUUUGACGGUACCAUCAGAGGAAGCACCGGCUAACUCCGUGCCAGCAGCCGCGGUAAUACGGAGGGUGCAAGCGUUNNUCGGAAUUACUGGGC